rnacentral:rRNA from 1 species
AUUGAACGCUGGCGGCAGGCUUAACACAUGCAAGUCGAGCGGAGAGAGGUAGCUUGCUACUGAUCUUAGCGGCGGACGGGUGAGUAAUGCUUAGGAAUCUGCCUAUUAGUGGGGGACAACAUUUCGAAAGGAAUGCUAAUACCGCAUACGUCCUACGGGAGAAAGCAGGGGAUCUUCGGACCUUGCGCUAAUAGAUGAGCCUAAGUCGGAUUAGCUAGUUGGUGAGGUAAAGGCUCACCAAGGCGACGAUCCGUAGCUGGUCUGAGAGGAUGAUCAGCCACACUGGAACUGAGACACGGUCCAGACUCCUACGGGAGGCAGCAGUGGGGAAUAUUGGACAAUGGGCGAAAGCCUGAUCCAGCCAUGCCGCGUGUGUGAAGAAGGCCUUCGGGUUGUAAAGCACUUUAAGCGAGGAGGAAUGGCUCUGGGUUAAUACCCUUGAGCAGUGACGUUACUCGCAGAAUAAGCACCGGCUAACUCUGUGCCAGCCGCCGCAGUAAAAC